UACGGAGGGUGCAAGCGUUGUUCGGAAUCAUUGGGCGUAAAGCGUGCGUAGGCGGCCGCACAAGUCGGGUGUGAAAUCCCAGGGCUCAACCCUGGACGUGCGCUCGAAACUGUGUGGCUUGAAUCCGGGAGAGGGUCGUAGAAUUACCGGUGUAGAGGUGAAAUUCGUAGAUAUCGGUAAGAGCACCAGCGGCGAAGGCGGCGACCUGGACCGAGAUUGACGCUGAGGCACGAAAGCGUGGGGAGCAAACAGG
rnacentral:misc_RNA from 1 species